UACGUAGGGUGCGAGCGUUAAUCGGAAUUACUGGGCGUAAAGCGUGCGCAGGCGGUUUUGUAAGCCAGGUGUGAAAUCCCCGGGCUCAACCUGGGAAUGGCAUUUGGGACUGCAAGGCUGGAGUGCGGCAGAGGAGACUGGAAUUCCUGGUGUAGCAGUGAAAUGCGUAGAUAUCAGGAGGAACACCGAUGGCGAAGGCAGGUCUCUGGGCUGACACUGACGCUCAUGCACGAAAGCGUG
rnacentral:rRNA from 1 species